AUGAUGAUAAAUAUUUGUUUGGUUUUUCUUCAACUAUAUUCAUGAACCAGGUGCUCCACGGACGCAUCAGGAAAGUUCACUUGUGCCACAGCAGAUUGUGGCUCUGGCCAAGUCUCAUGCAACGGUAACGACGCAGUUCCGCCAGCUACAUUAGUAGAAAUCACUAUUGCUCCGAACGGGGGUCAAGAUUUCUACGACGUUAGUCUUGUUAACGGCUUCAACUUACCCAUGGCCGUGGCUCCACAAGGUGGCACCGGCGAGUGUAAGGCCUCAACUUGCCCUGCCGAUGUAAACGCGGUGUGCCCGGCUGAGUUACAAGUGAAGGGAUCAUAUGGAAGCGUAAUUGCGUGCAAGAGCGCUUGCUUAGCGUUUGACGAGUCAAAAUACUGUUGCACUCCACCUAACGACAAGCCGGAGACAUGCCCUCCCACUGACUACUCUAAGCUCUUUAAGGACCAGUGCCCACAAGCUUAUAGCUAUGCUUAUGAUGACAAGAGCAGCACCUUUACAUGCAAUGCUAGCCCUGACUACCUCAUCACAUUCUUCCCAUAAGCAUAUAUAUAUAUGGGAUCUUAUAUGUUAUGAUAUUAUACAUGUAGUUCCCAAUAAUAGAAAAGAAGAAAUAAAUUUCCUGGAUCUUGACACAUUGUUGAUGUCAAGAAUUUGUAAUGCAGACGAUCAAAUAAAGGAAUAAAUGUUUGGCUUU